rnacentral:rRNA from 1 species
CCUACGGGAGGCAGCAGUGGGGAAUAUUGGACAAUGGGCGAAAGCCUGAUCCAGCCAUGCCGCGUGUGUGAAGAAGGCCUUCGGGUUGUAAAGCACUUUCAGUGGGGAAGAAAGCCUUGGGGCUAAUACCCUCGAGGAAGGACAUCACCCACAGAAGAAGCACCGGCUAACUCCGUGCCAGCAGCCGCGGUAAUACGGAGGGUGCGAGCGUUAAUCGGAAUUACUGGGCGUAAAGCGCGCGUAGGCGGUCUGAUAAGCCGGUUGUGAAAGCCCCGGGCUCAACCUGGGAACGGCAUCCGGAACUGUCAGGCUAGAGUGCAGGAGAGGAAGGUAGAAUUCCCGGUGUAGCGAUGAAAUGCGUAGAGAUCGGGAGGAAUACCAGUGGCGAAGGCGGCCUUCUGGACUGACACUGACGCUGAGGUGCGAAAGCGUGGGUAGCAAACAGGAUUAGAUACCCCAGUAGUC